CCUACGGGGGGCAGCAGUGAGGAAUAUUGGUCAAUGGGCGCUAGCCUGAACCAGCCAAGUAGCGUGAAGGAUGACUGCCCUAUGGGUUGUAAACUUCUUUUAUAUGGGAAUAAAGUGCAGUAUGUAUACUGCUUUGCAUGUACCUUAUGAAUAAGGAUCGGCUAACUCCGUUCCUGCAGCCGCGGCAAUACGGAGGAUCCGUGCGUUAGCCGGAUUUAUUGGGUUUAAAGUGAGCGUAGGCGGGUUGUUAAGUCAGUUGUGAAAGUUUGCGGCUCAACAGUAAGAUUGCAGUUGAUACUGGCAUCCUUGAGUACAGUAGAGGUAGGCGGAAUUCGUGGUGUAGCAGUGAAAUGCGUAGAUAUCACGAAGAACUCCGAUUGCGAAGGCAGCCUGCUGGACUGUAACUGACGCUGAGGCUCGAAGGUGAGGGUAUCAAACAGGAUUAGAUACCCGAGUAGUC
rnacentral:rRNA from 1 species